AUCGAACGCUGGCGGCAUGCCUAACACAUGCAAGUCGAACGAGUGGCGGACGGGUGAGUAAUGUCUGGGAAACUGCCUGAUGGAGGGGGAUAACUACUGGAACCGGUAGCUAAUACCGCAUACCAUCAGAUGUGCCCUGAUGGGAUUAGCUAGCUGGUGGGGUAACGGCUCACCAAGGCGACGAUCCCUAGCUGGUCUGAGAGGAUGACCAGCCACACGGGAACUGAGACACGGUCCAGACUCCUACGGGAGGCAGCAGUGGGGAAUAUUGCGCAAUGGGCGCAAGCCUGAUGCAGCCAUGCCGCGUGUAUGAAGAAGGCCUUCGGGUUGUAAAGUACUUUCGGCGGGGAAGCGUUACCCACAGAAGAAGCACCGGCUAACUCCGUGCCAGCAGCCGCGGUAAUUC
rnacentral:rRNA from 1 species